GUACUCGGCUGAGCUGAGGUAUGCCGGCAGGCUCGGAUGCCUGUCAUUCCCCGCAGCAGAGUUUUCAGGACUAAAGUUCACGCGAGGCUCGGAGGAGGGGGACUAUUUCAGGAGGGGGAAGUGUUUAAGAAAAGGAAUAACUCGUGCAACAACGCCUCACUGGAUCUCACAAUGCCCCCAAAGGACCUGACCCUCAGGAACGUCACACCUCCACUUCCCACCAGCCCAAAAUCUUCCCUCCCUCCCUUCCUCCCGACGGACUAGGUAAUCCGAGAAGAGCCCGCAAGAUGAGACGAGCUGAGGUGGAACCCGCCGGCAGGCAGGAAGUGACAUCACAGCAGUGUCUGAUUACACAGAGGGACCGAGUAAAUGACAGCCCACAGCCAGAAGAGACUACACUUUGGGAGGAACUGUUUGUCUCUCGUGCCAGCCUGAGACAGCACGGACUACACACACACACACACACAGGCAGACACAGACACAGGCAGACAGACAGACAGACA